rnacentral:rRNA from 1 species
CCUACGGGAGGCAGCAGUGAGGAAUAUUGGUCAAUGGGCGCUAGCCUGAACCAGCCAAGUAGCGUGAAGGAUGACUGCCCUACGGGUUGUAAACUUCUUUUAUAAGGGAAUAAAGUGCAGCACGUGUACCGCUUUGUAUGUACUUUAUGAAUAAGGAUCGGCUAACUCCGUGCCAGCAGCCGCGGUAAUACGGAGGAUCCGAGCGUUAUCCGGAUUUAUUGGGUUUAAAGGGAGCGUAGAUGGGUUGUUAAGUCAGUUGUGAAAGUUUGCGGCUCAACCGUAAAAUUGCAGUUGAUACUGGCAUCCUUGAGUACAGUUGAGGUAGGCGGAAUUCGUGGUGUAGCGGUGAAAUGCUUAGAUAUCACGAAGAACUCCGAUUGCGAAGGCAGCAUACUGGAGUCUGACUGACGCUGAUGCUCGAAAGUGUGGGGAUCGAACAGGAUUAGAUACCCCGGUAGUC